AGAAUCAACGCUGGCGGCGUGCCUAACACAUGCAAGUCGAACGAGAAAGUGGAGCAAUCCAUGAGUAAAGUGGCGCACGGGUGAGUAACACGUGACUAACCUACCCUUGAGUGGGGGAUAACCUAGAGAAAUCUGGGCUAAUACCGCAUAAUACCUUCGGGUCAAAGGAGCAAUUCGCUUAAGGAGGGGGUCGCGGCCGAUUAGCUAGUUGGCGGGGUAAUGGCCCACCAAGGCAGUGAUCGGUA
rnacentral:rRNA from 1 species